UACGGGGAGGCAGCAGUGGGGAAUAGUUGCACAAUGGGGGAAACCCUGAUGCAGCCAUGCCGCGUGUGUGAAGAAGGCCUUCGGGUUGUAAAGCACUUUCAGUAGGGAGGAAGGUAGUGUAGUUAACACCUGCAUUAUUUGACGUUACCUACAGAAGAAGCACCGGCUAACUCCGUGCCAGCAGCCGCGGUAAUACGGAGGGUGCGAGCGUUAAUCGGAAUUACUGGGCGUAAAGCGCAUGCAGGCGGCCUGUUAAGUCAGAUGUGAAAGCCCGGGGCUUAACCUCGGAAUUGCAUUUGAAACUGGCAGGCUAGAGUCUUGUAGAGGGGGGUAGGAAUUUCAGGUGUAGCGGUGAAAUGCGUAGAGAUCUGAAGGAAUACCAGUGGCGAAGGCGGCCCCCUGGACAAAGACUGACGCUCAGAUGCGAAAGCGUGGGGAGCAAACAGGAUUAGAUACCCUGGUAG
rnacentral:rRNA from 1 species